AAUUUCAAUUAUAAAAAAAGUUCACCAUGCAUUCUUUAUGCUCAAGUUAAAUCACUCUUAUGAUAAGACAAAAGCUAGUUUGAUAUAUCCUCAAAUAGAAAUAUUGUUUACUUGUACUCAAAGUUUUGUCAUCAUCAAAAAAAGAUAGAUUGUUGACCCAUGAAUUAAUUUUGAUGAAUAUAAAAUAUUUAAGUAUUUAUUUUGAUACUAAUGUAUUGUUGAAGUUCAUGUUAAGAAUGUUUCAGAAAACUAAAGUCACUCUUAGGAAGUAUUUCAUGAA
rnacentral:lncRNA from 1 species